GGCGGCUACACAUGCAGUCGAGCGGAUGAGGGAAGCUUGCUUCCUGAUUUAGCGGCGGACGGGUGAGUAAUGCCUAGGAAUCUGCCUGUUAGUGGGGGAUAACGUUCCGAAAGGAACGCUAAUACCGCAUACGUCCUACGGGAGAAAGUGGGGGAUCUUCGGACCUCACGCUAACAGAUGAGCCUAGGUCGGAUUAGCUAGUAGGUGAGGUAAUGGCUCACCUAGGCUACGAUCCGUAACUGGUCUGAGAGGAUGAUCGGUCACACUGGAACUGAGACACGGUCCAGACUCCUACGGGAGGCAGCAGUGGGGAAUAUUGGACAAUGGGCGAAAGCCUGAUCCAGCCAUGCCGCGUGUGUGAAGAAGGUCUUCGGAUUGUAAAGCACUUUAAGUUGGGAGGAAGGUCUGUAAGUUAAUACCUUGCAGUCUUGACGUUACCAACAGAAUAAGCACCGGCUAACUCUGUGCCAGCAGCCGCGGUAAUACAGAGGGUGCAAGCGUUAAUCGGAAUUACUGGGCGUAAAGCGCGCGUAGGUGGUUUGGUAAGUUGAAUGUGAAAGCCCCGGGCUCAACCUGGGAACUGCAUCCAAAACUGCCUGACUAGAGUACGGUAGAGGGUGGUGGAAUUUCCUGUGUAGCGGUGAAAUGCGUAGAUAUAGGAAGGAACACCAGUGGCGAAGGCGACCACCUGGACUGAUACUGACACUGAGGUGCGAAAGCGUGGGGAGCAAACAGGAUUAGAUACCCUGGUAGUCCACGCCGUAAACGAUGUCAACUAGCCGUUGGGUUCCUUGAGAACUUAGUGGCGCAGCUAACGCAUUAAGUUGACCGCCUGGGGAGUACG
rnacentral:rRNA from 1 species